rnacentral:rRNA from 1 species
AAAGGAAUAGACGGGAGCCCGCACAAGCAGUGGAGUAUGUGGAUUAAUUCGAGGCAACGCGAAGAACCUUACCAGGACUUGACAUCCCGGAAAAAGGCUUGUAAUGAGCUAAUGCCCCUUCGGGGGAAUCCGGUGACAGGUGGUGCAUGGUUGUCGUCAGCUCGUGUCGUGAGAUGUUGGGUUAAGUCCCGCAACGAGCGCAACCCUUACGGUUAGUUGCCCUUAGUGGCUCUCUGGCCGGACUGCCGUUGACAAAACGGAGGAAGGUGGGGAUGACGUCAAAUCAUCAUGCCCCUUACGUUCUGGGCUUCACACGUACUACAAUGGCGUAAACAAAGGGAAGCGAAACCGCGAGGCGGAGCAAAUCCCAUAAAAGACGUCCCAGUUCAGAUUGUAGGCUGCAACCCGCCUAUAUGAAGUUGGAAUUGCUAGUAAUCGCGGAUCAGCAUGCCGCGGUGAAUACGUUCCCGGGCUUUGUACACACCGCCCGU